rnacentral:rRNA from 1 species
CGGGACGGGUGAGUAGCGCGUGGGUAACCUGCCUCAUACAGGGGGAUAACAGUUAGAAAUGACUGCUAAUACCGCAUAAGCACACAGUACCGCAUGGUACAGUGUGAAAAACUCCGGUGGUAUGAGAUGGACCCGCGUCUGAUUAGCUUGUUGGCGGGGUAACGGCCCACCAAGGCGACGAUCAGUAGCCGACCUGAGAGGGUGACCGGCCACAUUGGGACUGAGACACGGCCCAA